ACAAAAAAAGAGGUGAGUUAAAUCACUUAAAUUGUAUCAGAAAGUUAAAUGAUUUUAUUUUAAAUUACUUAUCUACAAGUGAGACAAAUAUACAUUAUCUAGCAUCAGUUAUAAUAAGUAAUGUUAUUAUUAAUUAUUUUGCAUCAAUUCAAUAAAAGUGAUAUACUUUUUAUUCAUUUGUAUCAAUUUAACAUAAAUGAUAUUACUAUAUGUAUUUAUAUCAGUUAUAUAAUUGAUGCAUUUACUAUUUUGUUUAACAUCACUUGUUUAUUUGAUACAAAUACUCCCUCUGUUCUAAUUUAAAUGACGCUUUCCAACUUUUCACACAUAUUUAGGCAGCUAACCAAAUACCUAUUCUAACCUUUUUAUAUAUGAACUAACUCUAAAUCAUUAUUACGACAACUCACAAGUAUAAGGGUAAAACAAGUCACUUUUUGUUAGCUUUUGCUUUGGUUUUUGGAAACGACAAGUAAAUGGAGACAAAACAAAAAUUGUAAAACGUCAGUUAAAACAGAACGGAGGGAGUAUCUUACAUCACUAUAAAAAUGACACUAAUAAAACUUAUGUAAUUACAUAUUAUUUUAACAUCAAUUUAAUAAAAAUGAUGUUAUUUUAUCUGGAUUUUUAACAUUUAAAACAUUUGUUACAAUAUAUUUUUUUAAUAGCUUAAUAUUUUAAAAAGAUUACGAUGUAGUUAAGAUUUUGUCGCUUUUAUAUUUUUUUGUGUCUCUAAUUAGAUCGUGUUUUCUUAACAGUUUUUUUCUUAUCUAGAAGCAUAUUCUUUUUUCAUGAUCUAGAUCCCCACUUCGUCUCUCUAGUGCUUAGACAUCUUUUACAGUUAUAUUGUUAUUAGAAACAAAUUAUUCUACAAAAAAUCAAACUUUGUUUCUUAAUGAGUAAAGAUGACGUUUCAUUAGAAAGCCAUUGGCGGCUGGAGAAUUUUCCCUUAUAUGAUGAUGAUUUGAAAGAAAACUAAGGUUUGCUAAUCCAACUACCUUGAUGGAAAAAUCUGAAAAGAUUAUGCUAGAAAUAUAUCUCGAGAGAAAUGGUUCAGAUGGUUUGAUUAUGUAAUCUGAAAUUCAUUUCAGCAGAAGCAUGAGGUGUUGGAGGAGGAAACUAUUCUGGUGAGGUGUAAAUGGUAUUCUCCGAGGGAAAUGGCUGAUUCAUAAAUCUCUAGAAGAAUAGGAGAAGAUGGAAGUCUACAAGAAGAAGAAAAGAAGAAUACGAAUCUCGGUUGAAGAACUCUCAUCGCAAUUUUUUUAUAGUUGUUCAGUCUUUUUUUUUUCUUUUAAUUCAUUUUUUUCAUAGGACUUUUAUGUAUAUUUAAUGUUUCCCUUCUUUGUAUUCGCUUUUAAAAAAAAUAUGAAUAUAAAUAUUUAAAUUUAUUUA